AAUCAACGCUGGCGGCGUGCCUCAGACAUGCAAGUCGAACGCGAAAGUUCCCUUCGGGGGAUGAGUAGAGUGGCGCACGGGUGAGUAACACGUAGGUAAUCUACCUUCGGAUGGGGAAGUAACAACCGGAAACGGUUGCUAAUACCGCAUAAUGCAGCGGCACCUAAUGGUGACAGUUGUUAAAGCGGGGGAGUCGAAAGACCUCGCGUCUGAAGAGGAGCCUGCGGCGGAUUAGCAGUUGGUAGGGUAACGGCCUACCAAGG
rnacentral:rRNA from 1 species